rnacentral:rRNA from 1 species
GAUGAACGCUGGCGGCGUGCCUAAUACAUGCAAGUCGAACGACAACACAAGGAGCUUGCGCCUCUGCCGUUAGCGGCGGACGGGCGAGUGACACGUGGAUAACCUACCUAUUAGACUGGGAUAACAUCGUGAAACCGGAGAUACUACCGGCUCAUAUAUUCUACCGCAUGGUUCAGUGGUUCAAGGCGCUUUUCGCGUCUGUAUUAGCUGAUUCCGCGUCGGCUUGGCUAGUUGGUAAGGUAACGGCUUACCAAGGCGACGAUGCGUAGCUGACCUGAGAGGAUGAUCGGCCACACUGGAACUGAGACACGGUCCAGACUCCUACGGGAGGCAGCAGUGGGGAAUAUUCGGCAAUGGGCGAAAGCCUGACGGAGCAAGGCCGCGUGAGUGAUGAAGGUCUUCGGAUCGUAAAACUCUGUUGUUAGGAAAGAAAAAAUGUGGAAUUAUCCCCGGCCGUUUUGACGGUACCUAAUGAGAAAGCAACGGCUAACUUCGUG